rnacentral:snRNA from 1 species
GAACAAGUCUUAUGCAAUG